CAGCCAUGGAGCAGAAAGAACAAACAUUGCUACUUAAGCAAGAGGGAAGACCCGACGAGGCCAUUAUGCUUACCUUGCUCGAGCGCAUCAACCCCGACCAUGGCACCACAUUCACAGUCUUGAGGUAGCCGUGCUGCAACUACAUCAACGCUAUCUUCUCUGACUAGAUAAGGCUUCGGUCUAUCCCAUUAUUUUCUUUUCUUCUUUGGUCGAUGGGCCAUGAUGCCAUUGUGUUGAUUCCCUAUGUGAUGCAGAAGCUAUGGUGUUUUGUUUUAAGUCUGUUGUAAAUUGUAAUUGAUAAUGAUUUGUGUAAAAUUAGUGUAGAACAUAUGUCUUGUUAUCUUAAA